GGCCUCAUAGUUCAACGGAUAGAAUAAGACACUCCUAACGUCUAGAUGUAGGUUCAAUUCCUACUGGGGCCA
rfam:Parcubacteria (Magasanikbacteria) bacterium GW2011_GWA2_37_8 TS58_C0006, whole genome shotgun sequence.